rnacentral:rRNA from 1 species
UACGUAGGGGGCAAGCGUUGUCCGGAAUCAUUGGGCGUAAAGAGCGUGUAGGCGGCCCGAUAAGUCCGCUGUGAAAGUCCAGGGCUCAACCCUGGAAUGCCGGUGGAUACUGUCGGGCUCGAAUCCGGAAGAGGUGAGUGGAAUUCCUGGUGUAGCGGUGAAAUGCGCAGAUAUCAGGAGGAACACCGGUGGCGAAGGCGGGUCUCUGGGCCGUAACUGACGCUGAGGAGCGAAAGCGUGGGGAGCGAACAGG